rnacentral:rRNA from 1 species
UCCUACGGGAGGCAGCAGUAGGGAAUAUUGCACAAUGGACGAAAGUCUGAUGCAGCAAUGCCACGUGUGGGAUGACACUUUUCGGAGCGUAAACCACUGUCAACUGGGAAUAAUAGCAUAGUAGCCCUAUGUUUGAAGGUACCAGUAAAGGAAGCACCGGCUAACUUCGUGCCAGCAGCCGCGGUAACACGAGGGGUGCAAGCGUUGUUCGGAAUCACUGGGCGUAAAGAGUUCGUAGGCGGGAUAUCAAGUCAGAUGUUUAAAGCAGGGGCCUAACCCCCGUUCGGCAUUUGAAACUGGUAUUCUUGAGUAGGUCAGAGGUUAACGGAAUUCCUAGUGUAGCGGUGGAAUGCGUAGAUAUUAGGAAGAACACCAAUUGCGAAGGCAGUUAACUGGGACCAUACUGACGCUGAGGAACGAAAGUGUGGGUAGCGAACAGGAUUAGAUACCCUGGUAGUCCACACCGUAAACGAUGUACACUAGACGUCUGGAGCUUGCUCUGGGUGUCGGAGCUAACGCAUUAAGUGUACCGCCUGGGGAGUACGCUCGCAAGAGUGAAACUCAAAUGAAUUGACGG